GGCGGACGGGUGAGUAACGCGUGAGUAACCUGCCUUCAAGAGGGGGAUAACAUUCUGAAAAGAAUGCUAAUACCGCAUGACAUAUCGGAACCACAUGGUUUUGAUAUCAAAGAUUUUAUCGCUUGAAGAUGGACUCGCGUUCCAUUAGGUUGUUGGCGGGGUAACGGCCCACCAAGCCUUCGAUGGAUAGGGAUUCUGAGAGGAAGGUCCCCCACAUUGGAACUGAGACACGGUCCAAGCUCCUACGGGAGGCAGCAGUGAGGAAUAUUGGUCAAUGGACGAGAGUCUGAACCAGCCAAGUAGCGUGAAGGAUGACUGCCCUAUGGGUUGUAAACUUCUUUUAUACGGGAAUAAAGUGAGGCACGUGUGCCUUUUUGUAUGUACCGUAUGAAUAAGGAUCGGCUAACUCCGUGCCAGCAGCCGCGGUAAUACGGAGGAUCCGAGCGUUAUCCGGAUUUAUUGGGUUUAAAGGGAGCGUAGGCGGACGCUUAAGUCAGUUGUGAAAGUUUGCGGCUCAACCGUAAAAUUGCAGUUGAUACUGGGUGUCUUGAGUACAGUAGAGGCAGGCGGAAUUCGUGGUGUAGCGGUGAAAUGCUUAGAUAUCACGAAGAACUCCGAUUGCGAAGGCAGCUUGCUGGACUGUAACUGACGCUGAUGCUCGAAAGUGUGGGUAUCAAACAGGAUUAGAUACCCUGGUAGUCCACACAGUAAACGAUGAAUACUCGCUGUUUGCGAUAUACAGUAAGCGGCCAAGCGAAAGCGUUAAGUAUUCCACCUGGGGAGUACGCCGGCAACGGUGAAACUCAAAGGAAUUGACGGGGGCCCGCACAAGCGGAGGAACAUGUGGUUUAAUUCGAUGAUACGCGAGGAACCUUACCCGGGCUUGAAUUGCAACUGAAUGAUGUGGAGACAUGUCAGCCGCAAGGCAGUUGUGAAGGUGCUGCAUGGUUGUCGUCAGCUCGUGCCGUGAGGUGUCGGCUUAAGUGCCAUAACGAGCGCAACCCUUAUCGAUAGUUACCAUCAGGUUAUGCUGGGGACUCUGUCGAGACUGCCGUCGUAAGAUGUGAGGAAGGUGGGGAUGACGUCAAAUCAGCACGGCCCUUACGUCCGGGGCUACACACGUGUUACAAUGGGGGGUACAGAAGGCAGCUACACGGCGACGUGAUGCUAAUCCCGAAAGCCUCUCUCAGUUCGGAUUGGAGUCUGCAACCCGACUCCAUGAAGCUGGAUUCGCUAGUAAUCGCGCAUCAGCCACAGCGCGGUGAAUACGUUCCCGGGCCUUGCACACACCGCCCGUCAAG
rnacentral:rRNA from 1 species